rnacentral:rRNA from 1 species
UACGGAGGGGGCCAGCGUUGUUCGGAAUCAUUGGGCGUAAAGGGCGCGUAGGCGGCCAAUCAAGUCCGACGUGAAAUUCCCCGGCUCAACCGGGGGCCUGCGUCGGAUACUGCUUGGCUUGAGUCCCGGAGGGGGUAGUGGAAUUCCCAGUGUAGCGGUGAAAUGCGUAGAUAUCGGAAGGAACAUCAGUGGCGAAAGCGACUUCCUGGACCAGUACCGACGUUCAGGCACGAAAGCGUGGGGAGCAAACAGG